AAAUCUAAUAAAAAUAACCUUUUCAUGUCAUGUAGGAUGAAUGCUGUUGGAGUGAAGUAUAGAGAUCAACAAAAAUACCUCUAUUUUGAGGGCCAAGUUACCUACACAUCGUUUUUGGAAAGUGCUUCCAAGAAGUUCAGCAUCCCAACCUUGGACUAAAGUCUUUGAUGACACAAAGACUGAGGUUGAUGAGGAGGUCUUUGAUUUCCUCGUGAAAAAACAAAACCUAGGUGUCCUCGAGAAGGUCCAAAUUCAGAUGAUUGCCUGAGUUCCCCUGCAAGCAGCUCCUUUACCAGCUCCAGUGGGGAUAUUGAUGGGGACUCUGAUGACACCGUAAUAUUGCAGUGCAGUCCUGCCACAAGACGGAGAGCUGAAAACACCUCUCUUGCCAAAAUGAUUGAAGAUGUUCUAAAGAACAAACCUGUCGGAGAGAGGAUCAUCAAUGAGUAUGCUCGGACAAAAAGUCUUAACAGACGGCAGGCGGAGCGACAUGGUCAAGAUAUUGGUUGCACAAAUAACAAGUGAACAUGGUGCUCAUAGUUUGUGUGUAUAUGUGUAGGACAAGUCCUUCAAGGCGUGUCAAAGAGGACCACGCAAAGGGGAUCAUCAACUUGUUCCCAUACCUGGCUGAUCCAAGGAGCAAGUUUGGUUAUGAACAUUUUUACAAUGCAGAAGAUAGGAGUGGGUACCUGGCUUGGAGAUUGAAGUUUGUCCAAAAGGAAGCUUCUGAUGGACAAAAGAAGGCCAUGAGACUCAAGAACACAAAUGGGGGGCCCAUCAGCUGAAAGAGACUUGAGGGAGGACAAUCCCCUAAUGACAGACAGCUUGUGUUCUGAGGCCAUUGCACUGAUGAAGCAUACAGCUGAUAAAGGAAUUGUUAUGACGAAGAUGAAGCAGACCUUCAACUAUCGUCAAAAGAUCAUUCAUGAUCCAGUGAAGUCCUCUGAUGUCUUUCUGGCCUUCCCAAGAUUCCUGGACAUACAAGGAUUAAUUGAGCAAGAUUUUACUUUGAUUGAUGAUGCCAUCUCUGCAAAGUUCCUGGAGAAGUGGCCCACAAUUUACAAGCAAAAAGUCCUUGAACAAAGCCGUGGUCUCACAGUCAGAUGAUCUGCAGUACCUCGUCCAGGCUGCUGAAUCCACAACAGAAGUCGAAAGUGGAUGGGACAGUGACAUGUCGUCCAUUUUGAUCCUUGUGCACCUGCUGCCGCCGUCACCUCAAGGCCGAAAGAGACCAGGAAAGCUCUCCGCCAGUGAGAAUCUUGUGAAGUUCAUCAAGACAGGGACCAGCAUCCAGGGGCAUCCCGAUGGAAUCGCAGGCAGCCUUCAACCAUACCUGCUUGCUGUGGGAACUCAGAGCAAUGUGAUUCACAAGUACUUCAUUGACAAACAUGCAAGAUCUUGUAAGUCAUCUGGCUCUCUUGCUUGAUUUGAUGAGCUUUUCAAAGCUCACUUUGUCUUUGGCACUUCGUACAACCACGAUCUCGUCAAUGUGUACAACUUCCUUCAGUCAACCAUUUAUGAAAUCGAUAUUGAUACAACCAAGGUGAAUCCUAGAGUUGCAGAGUUGAGGCUCGGAUGCUGCGUUGAGUAGAUUUUUCUGAUUUGUUUUUCUGUGAGGGCUCCAUUACAGAAUUACGGUAUUCUGAAAUGUUGUUUUUCAUUUGUAAGAGCUCUCAGACAAAUACUAAUUUAGUUGUAUGUGUUAAAAUUCAUUGUGACAUGCCAGUUUUUCAUAAGAUCCACCAUGCUGUUGUGAAGGAUGAGACAUUGUUUUUUGUUACUUUUGCACUACAAACGGUGUCUCAUCGAGCAUUUUAAUGCAUUUCAAGUUUUGUACACAACAGACGGACCUCAUAUUGUGUUUGUCAACGAUCUUUUCUGUCACAAAGCAUUCGAUUUACAGGUGUCUUGCAGUCAUAAUUACUCCAGUUUUUAUAUUGUGCCAUACUGUUUUCUGUGAACACUUAAUAAAGUAAAGGUGUCACUUAA